UACGGAGGGUGCGAGCGUUGUCCGGAAUCAUUGGGCGUAAAGGGCGCGUAGGUGGCCCCUCAAGCGUGCGGUGAAAGUCAGGGGCUCAACCCCUGAUCGGCCGUGCGAACUGGGGAGCUUGAGCACUGUAGAGGCAGGCGGAAUUCCGGGUGUAGCGGUGGAAUGCGUAGAGAUCCGGAAGAACACCGGUGGCGAAGGCGGCCUGCUGGGCAGUUUGCUGACACUGAGGCGCGACAGCGUGGGGAG
rnacentral:rRNA from 1 species